rnacentral:rRNA from 1 species
GACGAACGCUGGCGGCGUGCUUAACACAUGCAAGUCGAACGGAAAGGCCCUGCUUUUGUGGGGUGCUCGAGUGGCGAACGGGUGAGUAACACGUGAGUAACCUGCCCUUGACUUUGGGAUAACUUCAGGAAACUGGGGCUAAUACCGGAUAGGAUCUCCUGCUGCAUGGUGGGGGUUGGAAAGUUUCGGCGGUUGGGGAUGGACUCGCGGCUUAUCAGCUUGUUGGUGGGGUAGUGGCUUACCAAGGCUUUGACGGGUAGCCGGCCUGAGAGGGUGACCGGACAAAUUGGGACUGAGAUACGGCCCAGACUCCAACGGGAGGCAGGAGUGGGGAGUAUUGCACAGUGGGCGGAAGCAUGAUGCAGCAACGCCGCGUGCGGGAUGACGGCCUGCGGGUAGUAAACCGAAUUCGCCUGUGACGAAGCGUGAGUGACGGUAAUGGGUAAAGAAGCACCGGCUAACUACGUG